GCCCCCGGCUCAACCGGGGAGGGUCAUUGGAAACUGGGGAACUUGAGUGCAGAAGAGGAGAGUGGAAUUCCACGUGUAGCGGUGAAAUGCGUAGAGAUGUGGAGGAACACCAGUGGCGAAGGCGACUCUCUGGUCUGUAACUGACGCUGAGGAGCGAAAGCGUGGGGAGCGAACAGGAUUAGAUACCCUGGUAGUCCACGCCGUAAACGAUGAGUGCUAAGUGUUAGGGGGUUUCCGCCCCUUAGUGCUGCAGCUAACGCAUUAAGCACUCCGCCUGGGGAGUACGGUCGCAAGACUGAAACUCAAAGGAAUUGACGGGGGCCCGCACAAGCGGUGGAGCAUGUGGUUUAAUUCGAAGCAACGCGAAGAACCUUACCAGGUCUUGACAUCCUCUGACAAUCCUAGAGAUAGGACGUCCCCUUCGGGGGCAGAGUGACAGGUGGUGCAUGGUUGUCGUCAGCUCGUGUCGUGAGAUGUUGGGUUAAGUCCCGCAACGAGCGCAACCCUUGAUCUUAGUUGCCAGCAUUCAGUUGGGCACUCUAAGGUGACUGCCGGUGACAAACCGGAGGAAGGUGGGGAUGACGUCAAAUCAUCAUGCCCCUUAUGACCUGGGCUACACACGUGCUACAAUGGACAGAACAAAGGGCAGCGAAACCGCGAGGUUAAGCCAAUCCCACAAAUCUGUUCUCAGUUCGGAUCGCAGUCUGCAACUCGACUGCGUGAAGCUGGAAUCGCUAGUAAUCGCGGAUCAGCAUGCCGCGGUGAAUACGUUCC
rnacentral:rRNA from 1 species